rnacentral:rRNA from 1 species
GACGAACGCUGGCGGCGUGCUUAACACAUGCAAGUCGAACGGAAAGGCCCUGCUUUUGUGGGGUGCUCGAGUGGCGAACGGGUGAGUAACACGUGAGUAACCUGCCCUUGACUUUGGGAUAACUUCAGGAAACUGGGGCUAAUACCGGAUAGGAGCUCCUGCUGCAUGGUGGGGGUUGGAAAGUUUCGGCGGUUGGGGAUGGACUCGCGGCUUAUCAGCUUGUUGGUGGGGUAGUGGCUUACCAAGGCUUUGACGGGUAGCCGGCCUGAGAGGGUGACCGGCCACACUGGGACUGAGAUACGACCCAGCCUCCUCCGGGAGGCAGCAGUGGGGAAUAGUGCACAAUGGGCGGAAGCCUGCUGCAGCAACGCCGCGUGCGGGAUGACGGCCUUCCGGUUGUAAACCGCUUUCGCCUGUGACGAAGCGUGAGUGACGGUAAUGGGUAAAGAAGCACCGGCUAACUACGUG